rnacentral:rRNA from 1 species
GAUGAACGCUGGCGGCGUGCCUAAUACAUGCAAGUCGAGCGAACAGACGAGGAGCUUGCUCCUCUGACGUUAGCGGCGGACGGGUGAGUAACACGUGGAUAACCUACCUAUAAGACUGGGAUAACUUCGGGAAACCGGAGCUAAUACCGGAUAAUAUAUUGAACCGCAUGGUUCAAUAGUGAAAGACGGUUUUGCUGUCACUUAUAGAUGGAUCCGCGCCGCAUUAGCUAGUUGGUAAGGUAACGGCUUACCAAGGCAACGAUGCGUAGCCGACCUGAGAGGGGGAUAGGCCACCCUGGAACUGAGACACGGUCCAGACUCCUACGGGAGGCAGCAGUAGGGAAUCUUCCGCAAAGGGCGAAAGCCUGACGGAGCAGCGCCGCGUGAGUGAUGAAGGUCUUCGGAUCGUAAAACUCUGUUAUUAGGGAAGAACAAAUGUGUAAGUAACUAUGCACGUCUUGACGGUACCUAAUCAGAAAGCAACGGCUAACUACGUG